rnacentral:rRNA from 1 species
UACGUAGGGGGCAAGCGUUGUCCGGAAUCAUUGGGCGUAAAGCGCGUGUAGGCGGCCCGAUAAGUCCGCUGUGAAAGUCCAGGGCUCAACCCUGGGAUGCCGGUGGAUACUGUCGGGCUCGAGUCCGGAAGAGGCGAGUGGAAUUCCUAGUGUAGCGGUGAAAUGCGCAGAUAUCAGGAGGAACACCAAUGGCGAAGGCAGCUCGCUGGGACGUGACUGACGCUGAGACGCGAAAGCGUGGGGAGCAAACAGG